rnacentral:rRNA from 1 species
AGAGUUUGAUCCUGGCUCAGGAUGAACGCUGGCGGCGUGCUUAACACAUGCAAGUCGAACGAAGCACCUUGAUUUGAUUCUUCGGAUGAAGAUCUUGGUGACUGAGUGGCGGACGGGUGAGUAACGCGUGGGUAACCUGCCUCAUACAGGGGGAUAACAGUUAGAAAUGACUGCUAAUACCGCAUAAGACCACAGCACCGCAUGGUGCAGGGGUAAAAACUCCGGUGGUAUGAGAUGGACCCGCGUCUGAUUAGGUAGUUGGUGGGGUAACGGCCUACCAAGCCGACGAUCAGUAGCCGACCUGAGAGGGUGACCGGCCACAUUGGGACUGAGACACGGCCCAAACUCCUACGGGAGGCAGCAGUGGGGAAUAUUGCACAAUGGGGGAAACCCUGAUGCAGCGACGCCGCGUGAGCGAUGAAGUAUUUCGGUAUGUAAAGCUCUAUCAGCAGGGAAGAAAAUGACGGUACCUGACUAAGAAGCACCGGCUAAAUACGUGCCAGCAGCCGCGGUAAUACGUAUGGUGCAAGCGUUAUCCGGAUUUACUGGGUGUAAAGGGAGCGUAGACGGAGUGGCAAGUCUGAUGUGAAAACCCGGGGCUCAACCCCGGGACUGCAUUGGAAACUGUCAAUCUAGAGUACCGGAGAGGUAAGCGGAAUUCCUAGUGUAGCGGUGAAAUGCGUAGAUAUUAGGAGGAACACCAGUGGCGAAGGCGGCUUACUGGACGGUAACUGACGUUGAGGCUCGAAAGCGUGGGGAGCAAACAGAAUUAGAUACCCUGGUAGUCCACGCCGUAAACGAUGAAUACUAGGUGUUGGGGAGCAAAGCUCUUCGGUGCCGCCGCAAACGCAUUAAGUAUUCCACCUGGGGAGUACGUUCGCAAGAAUGAAACUCAAAGGAAUUGACGGGGGCCCGCACAAGCAGUGGAGUAUGUGGUUUAAUUCGAAGCAACGCGAAGAACCUUACCAGGUCUUGACAUCCGAUGCAUAGCUUAGAGAUAAGUGAAGUCCUUCGGGACAUCGAGACAGGUGGUGCAUGGUUGUCGUCAGCUCGUGUCGUGAGAUGUUGGGUUAAGUCCCGCAACGAGCGCAACCCUUAUUGCCAGUUACUACGCAAGAGGACUCUGGCGAGACUGCCGUUGACAAAACGGAGGAAGGUGGGGAUGACGUCAAAUCAUCAUGCCCUUUAUGACCUGGGCUACACACGUACUACAAUGGCGUUUAACAAAGAGAAGCAAGACCGCGAGGUGGAGCAAAACUCAAAAACAACGUCCCAGUUCGGACUGUAGUCUGCAACCCGACUACACGAAGCUGGAAUCGCUAGUAAUCGCGGAUCAGAAUGCCGCGGUGAAUACGUUCCCGGGUCUUGUACACACCGCCCGUCA